CAGUAUUAGGCCUAAGCCUUCCAAUGCUCGGAAUACUCCUCGAGCACUACCUCCAACUAUUCACACUCUCUAGCCAAACCCACGUCUGACGAUAAACAAAAGAACAAAUUGGUCAGACCGGACUCCAUAAUGAUCAUUAACGAUUCGACUUCUUCCCAUUUUGACUAGGUUUCCUAGGUUGACCAGGAUUGACCAAAUGAUUUAGGGUUAGCCAACUAACGAUGUUUUGACAUUUUCCAAGUUAACCUUCGACUUAACAAUUCAGGUCAUUUCACCAAUGCCCUAAUAACCGUCAAACAAUUAGGCGUCGUUUAAUAAAUCGUUUUGGCGAACUUCGAUUUUGAUUAAACAAAUCACUGUACUUUCGUUAAAUCAAAACACACGAACCUCAUUAAUCUGAAAACCACCAAAAAUACUAUGGGCACCCAGAAAGGAUUUUCAUAAAUAGAAAAUUCCAAAAAGGGAAAGUUUCAGAAAAUAGAAACUUUCCUAAGUUAAUAAGUUUUCCAAUUAUACUCUAAACUUUCCUAUUUAAGAACCACAACUUGUAUAAAAAGAAUGGCCUUGAAAACUACCCCUUCGGCUCUUGCCAGAAAAACUGCCUUCGCCGGAAUCUCUGGACGGAUUCCGGCAACUUGCCAGAAUUUGGCCAUAGUCUCCCCGUAAACUCUGAAUCACCAAGUUAUCGACAAGCAACACAAAAAUGCACCCAAUCAGUCUGAAUAUCCACACAACAACUAUAUAACAUCAAAGGUGAUCGAGAUUACCUUCCAUCGAUCUCAAGUGUUAUCCCAAGAAAUCCCUUGGUCCGGACUCAAUAUGCAGGAACCCCAAACAUCCACAACCGCUGCCUCCUUCUUCACUGCAACAACACCACUCACCUCAGAUCCUCUCCAGUCAAGCACUUCCGACCUCUGCCUUGGUCCCGAUCGAUAUGUAACUCCACCAAUGACCGUUUCAACUUCACACCAAGCUCACCAAACCUACCAAAACGCUGAAGAACUCGCCGGAAACCACCGAACGCCAGUCGCCGGAGCUAGAAACCGGAACCCAGAAAACAGAGAAGAAAGGGCUUUUAGAAAGGUACCAGAAGGUGAAAUAGGAAGAGAGGAAAAUAAUCUUACCUCCCCCUCGUCACGCCGUGGCCGGAAAUUUCGAGGAUUCGCCAGAAAACAGCCGAGGCUUCUCUCCCUUGGUUUGGCUUUGAAUCGGACUACAAACGAGUUCUAUGGACCGGGUUAGAUAGAAGAGAAGGAGAGUAAGAGAUUGGAGGUGGUCUCGUCGCCAGGGGUGGCCGGAAACGGCGGGGUCGUGCGAAGGAUGCUGGAGGCAGGCGGAGAGAGGGAGACCGGAGCUCGGGUCAACGCCUGUGUAGGCUUUUGACUAGAGUUAAAAAUCUCUUCCCUUUUUAAAAGAAAAUGGAAGGUUGAGAUUGAAACCCUAUUGAUCCAACAAUCCAGAUUAAAAGUUAUAUUCUGGUUUCAGAAAAAUAAUUAUAAUAGCAAACCUUCAAUAAAACGUAGAAAAUACCUCGAAACUCCGAAAAAUAAUCUGAGGACACCGGUGAACUUGUGUCAACACAAACUACAACAUCAAGAUCUUAACAGAGGGAUUUGACAUUUCGAGAAAAACUCGAAAAUAAACUAGAGUGUUAACUUAUUAAGUUACCAAGCGUGGUUAUAUUUCUCAGUAACUCGUAGACCCAGUAAAUAGGUAAAAUUUGGUCCGGGGGUGUUACAAACUAGUAACAAAACAAUAAUUUCUACAAAACCAAAAUUAAAACAGAAAAUGGAAUAAAGUGAUCUACUUGCAGACAACAAAGUCAUUAAGAUUAUGGUCUGAGUUAACAAAAUUAAAAAAAGGUAUAUAAAUAGAAAAAGAGUAAAACAAAUAUAAAGAAA
rnacentral:lncRNA from 1 species